rnacentral:lncRNA from 1 species
GCGGGAUCCGAGCCGCGUCUGCAACCUACACCACAGCUCACGGCAACGCCGGAUCGUUAACCCACUGAGCAAGGGCAGGGACCCGAACCCGCAACCUCAUGGUUCCUAGUCGGAUUUGUUAACUACUGCGCCACGAUGGGAACUCCUAAAUAAGUUUUCUGAGGUGUGUACGUUCCCCGAGUAUUUUAAGGGAGUAUGAUGUGUGUGUGUGUGACACCAAACCACUUUAGAGUUUAGGGUUCACAUUUCUGCCUUUUCUGGGGCUUGAAUGGUUUGUUUUCUUUAAUAUGCUGUGCAUUUGUUGGGGGGUGUUUAAGGCAAAGAGUUUGAGGAUGUAAGUUGACUGCUGUUGAGGGACCUGGAUAUUGAGAUUCUGCUGAAAUCUUUGAUUUGGGGAAACUGUCUGCAGGAUCAUUCACCAUGAUCUUUCUGCAGACUAAUAGCAGGAAGUCAUACCGUGAGCGUUCAGGUCUCUGAGUGCCCGAGAUGCCUUUUGAGUAUGGAUUUCCACGGAAUUAACGUCCGGAGAAGGUCCCUGAUAGAUAUGACGUCAUACCAUCUAUAAAUAAUGCACCGCACAAUAUGCUGCAAGCAGCCAGCCUCAGGCCUCCACGCCGUGAUGCUGAGCCGGCUUUGAAAUGAUGGCUUUUACUAAAGUCAGACCACAUAGGACAGCAUCAAUGUAACGGGAAAGUAUAUACCUCGUGCUUUCAUGCUGGGUGACUCUGGUACAGUCUUCUAUGGGUUUUUGUCUUGAGGAAUUCAACUCCGUUUUCAUAGUCCUCUCCCACAUAACUGCCAUAAUCAAUAAGGCUGUUGUGUUCUGGCCUCUGUCUGAGGAUCAGCAGAUGUCAAAAAUAAAAAUGGCUGCAGAGCCUAUGCUAAGUGGCAUGUGCUCUGGAGCAGGAUAACCUAGACGUGGGCCAUGGUUCCCUAUUUUCUAGCUGGGUGACCCUUACAAGGUACUGUGCCUCGGUUUCCUCAUCUGUGAAGUGGGGCUAAUAUUAACCAUAUCAGAGCGUCAUUAUGAAAACCAGAUGAUUUAACCCAUGGGAGAAGCUUGGAAUAGUACCCCGCACAUUGUGAAUAAUUUGUUGUGUUAGUGGUUCUUAUUAGCCAAUGAUAGGUUCAUCUAAAGAUGAAUUUAUUGCAAAAAAAAGUAAUAUUGUGCCUGCAAAAAUAUGCAGAUCUAAAAUGCUUUGAAGAGCCCAGGAGAUAAAAAUUUUUUUCAUUGCAAAAAUGUUUUCUAGCUGGUCUAAUUGACAACAACAACUAAGCAGAGCUGGACAAAAUCGAAACAAACGUUACCUCCGACAGGUCCUUGGUAGCGUCAGUGAUCUUACUGCUGCUAGAAAGAUAGGUGUAAGUGUUUUUCCUCCUUGUGUAAUUCAUCUAAAAUGAAACUCUUAUCAAUGACAAAGGAAAGAAGAGUGUGGGGAUCUUUGUGUUCCCAAGUGCCAGGAACUGGGGAGGAGAUGAGACGCUAGGGAACUCUUGGUUUUGCUUUAUUCUUAAGCCCAGAAGUAAAACUUUCUUGCUAUGAAGAUAGGUUCUUUCCUUCUCCAUUAUUGGGCUGAUGGUGACAUUUAAGUGAGCCGAGAGGAGUUCCAUGGUGGCUUAACUGUAUCCUGAUUAAGAAUCAGGCAUCAUCACUGCUGUGGCUCAGGUCACAUAUGCAAUGAGGGUUGAUCUCUGGCCCAGGAACUUCUCAGACAAAUGGGGUGGGGGGGAAGAGCUGAGAUGGCUUGGGAAGACUUUACUUACAUGCGUUGGAAAAUAGCAGAAAUCUCCUUGGGCAGAGGAUACUGAAUAACGGAAAUACCCCACAUUAAGUGGUGAUCUAUAGGGCGAUGCCAAAGGAGUGGACCUCUGCCAAUCUCAUGGUGGUGGGAUAAUGAACAAAGAGGCACCAUUAAGUGAAUGAGUUUGCAAAUAUUCCUUUAUCUAGAGCUCUCUAUCUGUACUGAUACCAAUCAAGAAGGAUUUUUUUUUUUUUAAAGGCAUAGCCACAGGCCUUAAUCAAAACCAAAAGUCCGUCAGGAAGUCUUGGCAAAAUUCAAACCAACAUUUCCAGGAAAGCAAAGACACAUGACAGAACAUGAGCCAAAGAUUCCUAGAGUAAGGACUGCUGGGGCAGAAGGUGGGCAGAAAGGCAAGAAGGAAUUUCUCUUUGUCCAGGGCACCAAAGCCAGCAGCAGCCAGGUAACCAUGGCCGUGGAGAUACUGUCCGUGUCCUGGUGUAUUUCCUGAGCCAGCCCUGAAAAUUCUGUGCCUUCUGUUACAGUGUCAGCUGUAGAUGUGUUUCAUGACGUCAGUGGAAGGGAGCUGGUUCCCCAGGAGGAAACUGAAAAGGAAGGGCCAUCCAUUUGCAAACUCUUGUGUUCUGAGGAACCGUGGAGUUCUGGGGAGGUGGUCCUGGGGAAGGGGACAGUUGCCUGGAUAUUGCCCAGUACUGGUUUUUUUCUAGGCGUUCCUAAGCUGGGACACCUUACUUUCUGGACUUGGAUUUCUCAGUCUGUUAAAUAAGGGGACUAGACCAGAUGAGUGGAUUUUGAGUUGUAAAACUUUUUGUUCAAAUGCAAGCUCGUGCAGAAACCUAAUAUGCAAAAAUAAUUAGAGUAUGAAAUAAAAGGGGGAAGGGAGAAGACCCAAUUAACCAGAGCACGCUAUUGGCUAAAUGAGAAUCCCCCAAGUGUAUUUACUUGCAAGACAGUUCGGCUGUGAAAACUCAAAUGUGGUUUGGUUUAUUAUUGAAAAGAAUGUUAAGAGUUUUAGAAUCAUUUCAGGCCAAGGCUGAAAACUUACAGCCAAAAGACUUGUUCUGUAAGAACAAGAGAAAGAGAAAUUUCUGGCUGCCCAACAUUGUUCGUGGAACAGCAAACUUGUGUCUCUACAUUUAUUUAUUCAAGAGAAGAUCUGGUAGGGAAUUGGAGUAAACUGUCAAAGUGCAUUCUUCAGGUAGGGAACAGAGAGUCAAUUUGUGAAAUGCUUGGUAGAAUGAACCCUGUUGCAGAAAGUUCUCAUGCUAAUGAUCUUUUAAUUUGAUUUAUACUUUGUUGCGAAGAAAUGCAGUCUUCAGAAGCUUGCUGUUUUAGCAUUUGCAAAGAGAGCAGGGGACUAAUUUAAUAUCCACAAACCAAAGAUUCACUUUAGAGAAGCGGCAAGUCCAUUUGAGAUGUUUGAGUGAGUUUGCCUCUCGAUUAAAGAAAUGCAUUUGUUCCAAACAAUUCUCUUACGUGCUCCAUCACCAGUGCAUGUUGAAACACAGCCCCUGUGGGCUUCUGGCUUCUACUUUAUUUAGGCCAGGCCAGCCAAUCAAUGUCUAAAAUCCAGGUAGAUUUCCCAGAUGCUGGGAGAUGGAGUCAGUGUCAGCUGCUGCCUGAGAAAUUAACAUGUGUAUGAACCCCAGUAGAACAGGAGGGAUCAUAGAAGCUGAGUUACUACUAAGUCCAACAUGUUUUGAUACAACUUUCCUCCAAAAACAUUUUAAACCAUAUGGCCCCCUUGCUACUUGCAGCAAUGAACACUUCCAAGAAUUUUAAAAUGUAUCCUUUUAAAAUGAUCUGCUUUGUGAACUUCUGAAUUUAAAACUUAUUUUCUCCUAGAUUCAGAGGACUUUUUUUUUUUUUUUUUUUUUUUAAAGAGAAACAUGUCUCUACUUUGAAAAAAGGGAAAUGGAGGAAGGAGUAUUAGCUAUUAAAAUUGUUCACUUGAUAGAUCAUUAUUUUAAGGAAGAAGAGAGAAGAAAGAAUAUUUUCUGGAGGGGCCACAGUGGGCAUCAAGGGACCUAAUGUGCUUCCUCCUUUAAUCCUUCCGAUGACUCCAAGAGAUAAGGAGAUUAUCUUCAUUUUACGCAGAAUUUUGUCUAUGGUCACACUGUUCGAAUUAGUCAAACUGGCUUUGGAACCUGAGCCCACCCGAAGUGACAGUCCAUGUUUUUUCCUUUAUCUCCGGGAAGGGGCCAAAUUCUGUAGCUGUGUUGUCACUUCCUUGUUCAGGCGUAGCCAGAGUGUGUUAGUUGGAGGCCCCUGUCCUCUUUCCUUUAGUCAAGAGGCUCUCUUUUCAGAGGGUAGAAUGAGAGUGCACCAGAUACAGAGUGACUGAUUCAUUCUGUCUACCGUUGUAGAAACAGCCUGGCGCCGAACCAUACUGGAGCCUGAGAAGCACAAGGAAAAAAUGAGUUAUUAUUAUCCUGCAUUGUUUAAAUUUUUGGUAUUUUGCUCGUGAUGGAUUUUUUUGCAUUAAUUGAUUUUUUCAAACGAUUGCAGGACCAUCUCAUUUAUCUGAUGCCUGAGUUUUUGGCACCUCCUUAAAUUUUGCACCUCCAGCCAGUGCCUCCCUUUCUCCACCCUAGACCCAGCCCUGGUACAUACUUUUAUUUAUGUGCCAGCGGGCAGUGAGCUACCUGCUAGAGACAGAAGAUCAAGAGCUCUCAGACUAGUGAGAGCCAGUCGUGCAAACCGUCACAACACAGCCUGAUAAGACUGUGCACAGCAUGUAGGGAGAAAGAGUUGCCGUUGAAUCAAGGUCCAUGGGAGGAGGGCUCCAGGGAGCUGGUGGAAAGGUGAAUGGGCGAAAGAUGAUGCACUCGGAGUGUUGGGAAAUGACACAUCCCUUCUUAGCUCUGAGCCUCAGUUUUCCACUCCUGUAAAAUGGAGGGAUUGGUAGCACCUACUGCAUAAGGUUGUUGUCAGGACUAGAAUGAAUUCGCUACGUUAAGCACCUCGAGUCGCUUCUGGAUUGUAACAGUACUAAAGGUGAGCCGCUGUGGUUAUGAAGAUCAUAGUGACCAUUGUAAAAUGACAGUAUCUUUGGGCCACAUACACAGUCUGAACUUUGCUUUGCAGAUAUCCACGACAGUGAUGGGAGUGCCAGCAGCAGCCACCAGAACCCCAAGAGCACAGCCAAGUGGGCGGCUUCUUUGGAGAAUCUACUUGAAGACCCAGAAGGCGUGAAAAGAUUUAGGGAGUUUUUAAAAAAAGAAUUCAGUGAAGAGAAUGUUUUGUUUUGGCUAGCCUGUGAAGAUUUUAAGAAAACACAAGAUAAAAAGCAGAUGCAGGAAAAGGCAAAGGAGAUAUACAUGACCUUUCUGUCCAGCAAGGCCUCAUCACAAGUCAAUGUUGAGGGCCAGUCCCGGCUCAAUGAGAAGAUUCUGGAGGAACCACACCCACUGAUGUUCCAAAAACUCCAGGACCAGGUCCCAGGACUACACAUUAAGAAACCACUGGCCCAUUGCAUCGUUUGGCGUUUUUUGAUCACCUGGAGUGGGCACUGAGCCCAGGACAUAUCCCAACAUCCAGCAGGCCUCACUUGCUCAGCAACAGAUAGAAAACAAGACAG